CAGAGGGUAGUUUAAAUUAUAAAAUAUUAAUUUUGGAUAUUAAAGAUAUUUUUUUUCUCUGA
rnacentral:tRNA from 1 species